GGUUUCUUGAUUAAAUAGGAGAUUUAACCUGCCCCCUGAAAGAUUUUUAAGGGCCGCAGUAUUUUGACUGUGCAAAGGUAGCAUAAUCAUUAGUCUUUUAAUUGAAGGCUGGUAUGAAUGGUUGGAUGAGGUAAUAACUGUCUUAUGAGAAUUUUUUUUGAAGUUAGGUAUUAGGUAAAAAAACCUAAAUAUUAUUAGGGGACGAGAAGACCCUAUAGAGUUUAAUAAGUUAAUUAAUUAAUUAAGUUUUUAAAAAAUUUUAGGUUGAUUAAUGAAUUUAUUUGAUUGGGGUGAUUUAAAGAUAUAAAAAACUCUUUAUAAAGAUUAAUGUAAUUUUUAGUAUAUUGAUCCAUAUUAUUGUGAUUAGAAGAUUAAAUUACCUUAGGGAUAACAGCAUAAUUUCUUUUGAGAGUUCAUAUCGAAAAAGAAGAUUGUGACCUCGAUGUUGGAUUAAGAUAAAUUUUGGGUGUAGAUGUUUAAUAAUUAGGUCUGUUCGACCUUUAAAUUCUUACA
rnacentral:rRNA from 1 species